CACACUUGUGCUUGUUUUUGUUCAGUUUUUUGGACAAAGACUCAGACAAGUACAGAAAAUGAAUCCUCUUUUGCAACCCGAAACUCAUGGCUCAGUAUGAGUUGUUUUUUUUUUUUUUUCAAUGUUUAUU
ensembl:snoRNA small nucleolar RNA SNORA40